GAAUAAAUGUAUGUCAAAGCAGACACUUCAUAUCAAAAGGCAUUUUGAGAGUCCAUGUGAUGGAACAUGAUAAAAUCAUUUGCAUUUAUUUUUCUUUUUGACUCUGAAAGAUGGAAUGGAAGGUGAACUACUAGCAGCAGAGCAUGGAAGAGGUCUGCAUGUUGCGUAGAGAAUGCAUUUCUCAAUAAAAAUCUGCUGGAAUGGAGAGACAAUCUUACUGACAACCAAGACAUUGCUCCCACCUUUGUGCUGCAUGGAAACAUUCUUCCUUGGAUGACUGGGGAUACAGAACGCACUUCUUUUCUACUAUCACUAUUAUCUCUUCACCUCUUAAUUUCCUCGCGCUGGACAUGCUGGUUAUUUGUUUUUUGAUCAAUGUCUUCUUCAGAAUAUAGCUGCCAAACUGUGGGGAAGUUCAUGCGUCUCAGUCUUGGGCAAGUUAAGAAUGUUUAUACUCCUGAAUUCAGUCACUGAUACCUCCUUGGCUGUUUUCUUCUGUGUCUGAGUAACACAUUUCAAAGGAAAGAUGUAUGAGGAAGAUGGAUGAGAGACAGCUAAGUCCCUCAGUUUGUUCAGCCCAGAGCAGAGGAGGCUGAAGGGGAACCCUCAUGGUGGCUUAUGGCUCCUCACAAAUGGAGCAGAGCAGUACUCUGCUCUCUGUGACAGCAACAGGACUGGAGGGAAUGGCAUGGAACUGUGUUGGGGGGGGGGGUGAGGGAAAGGUUCUUCACCAGAGGGCAGUGGGCACGGAACAGGCUGCCCAGGGCAGUGGGCACAGCCCUGAGCUGAUGGGAGUUCAAUGAGUGUCUGGAGAAUGCUAUCAGAUAUAUGAUCUGAUUUUUGGGUGGUCCCAGAAAUUGAUUUGGACUCGAUGAUCCUUAUGGGUCCCUUCCAGCUCCAAAU
ensembl:lncRNA